GACUGCGGAGGAUCAUUAUAGAAAUGAAAUGGGCUGUUGCUGGCUCCUCGCAUGUGCACGCCUGUCAUUUAUUUUCUCCUCUGUGCACCAACUGUAGGGUCCCAGGGUCCUAUGUUUUUACAAUCUCUCAAAUGUGUUUGGAAUGUCAUACAAAUGUAUAAAAUAUUAUAUACAACUUUCAGCAACGGAUCUCUUGGCUCUCGCAUCGAUGAAGAACGCAGCGAAAUGCGAUAAGUAAUGUGAAUUGCAGAAUUCAGUGAAUCAUCGAAUCUUUGAACGCAUCUUGCGCUCCUUGGUAUUCUGAGGAGCAUGCCUGUUUGAGUGUCAUAAAGUUCUCAAUCUCUCACAAUGUGAUGGAUUGGACUGUUGGGAAUUUGCAGGCUUUUUC
rnacentral:misc_RNA from 1 species